rnacentral:rRNA from 1 species
GCGAAACUGCGAAUGGCUCAUUACACAAGUUAUCGUUUAUUUGAUAGUACCUUACUACUUGGAUAACCGUGGUAAUUCUAGAGCUAAUACAUGCUGAAAAUCCCGACUCCGGAAGGGAUGUAUUUAUUAGAUUCAAAGCCAAUGCCCCCCGGGCUCACUGGUGAUUCAUGAUAACUGCUCGAAUCGCACGGCCUUGCGCCGGCGAUGGUUCAUUCAAAUUUCUUCCCUAUCAACUUUCGAUGUUUGGGUAGUGGCCAAACAUGGUUGCAACGGGUAACGGAGGGUUAGGGCUCGACCCCGGAGAAGGAGCCUGAGAAACGGCUACUACAUCCAAGGAAGGCAGCAGGCGCGCAAAUUACCCAAUCCCGACACGGGGAGGUAGUGACAAUAAAUACUGAUACAGGGCUCUUUUGGGUCUUGUAAUUGGAAUGAGUACAAUUUAAAUCCCUUAACGAGGAACAAUUGGAGGGCAAGUCUGGUGCCAGCAGCCGCGGUAAUUCCAGCUCCAAUAGCGUAUAUUAAAGUUGUUGUGGUUAAAAAGCUCGUAGUUGAACCUUGGGCCUGGCUGGCCGGUCCGCCUCACCGCGUGCACUGGUCCGGCCGGGCCUUUCCCUCUGUGGAACCCCAUGCCCUUCGCUGGGCGUGGCGGGGAAACAGGACUUUUACUUUGAAAAAAUUAGAGUGCUCCAGGCAGGCCUAUGCUCGAAUACAUUAGCAUGGAAUAAUGAAAUAGGACGCGCGGUUCUAUUUUGUUGGUUUCUAGGACCGCCGUAAUGAUUAAUAGGGACAGUCGGGGGCAUCAGUAUUCAAUAGUCAGAGGUGAAAUUCUUGGAUCUAUUGAAGACUAACUACUGCGAAAGCAUUUGUCAAGGAUGUUUU